UACGUAGGGUGCGAGCGUUGUCCGGAUUUAUUGGGCGUAAAGGGCGCGCAGGCGGCCACGCACGUCCGUUGUGAAAUCGCCCGGCUCAACUGGGCGGGGUCAGCGGAUACGGCGUGGCUGGAGCAAGCUAGGGGGCAAUGGAAUUCCCGGUGUAGUGGUGGAAUGCGUAGAUAUCGGGAGGAACACCAGUGGCGAAGGCGGGUAGCUGGGCCGACACUGACGCUGAGGCGCGAAAGCCAGGGGAGCGAACGGG
rnacentral:rRNA from 1 species